ACCCAGGAUCCGAACCUGUGAACCCCGGGCUGCCAUGAAGUGGAACGUGCGAACUUAACCACUGCACCACCAGGCCAGCCCCUAAACUUAAAGCUUUGAUCUCAGUUAAAAAUCAAGAAGGAAUAACAUAUUCUUUUUAUUUUGUGAUACACAGCUUUCAUAUGAUUGGAUGACAUGUAAAGCAUUAAGUUGUGUCAAUUGUAAUAAUUUGAGACAUCAGCAAGAUUUUUCAUGCCUCUCUCCUGGAGAUUAUCUCUGGAUCAGAUGCUAGAUCUUGACUUCUGUUAUCCUGGAGUGAGUCAAAAGAAAUUUGAAAUGGAGAGGAGACCAAAAUAACAGGUUUUUCUGUCUGCUGCUUCCUCCCUCCCACCACAAACACACACACACACACACACACACACACACACACACCCCCCAGGACUCUGAGCUGGGGAGAGAGUUACACACACACACACACACACAUACCCCCCAAGCUGUGAGCUGGGGAGAGAGUUACACACACACACACAAACCCCAGGCUGUGAGCUGGAGAGAGAGUUACACACACACACACACACACAUACACACACCCCAGGCUGUGAGCUGGGGAGAGAGCUAGCUUGGGGGAGAGAGAGCAGAGUGCAAAGCAGGGAGUGUCCCUGAACUUAUCCUGUGCCCCACAGUUACCUCAUCGUUUUAGGGAACUGAGAGAAGAGUGGGCUUGAGGCUGGCACCCCAGUAUGAGACUUUUGGAGUGUGGCAGCCAUGUGAAAGCUCUCCUUCCCCCAGGCAUAGAGUAGUCGAAAUAGCACAUGGCCUUUCUAGAUGCUAAAGAGCUUGCAAAAACCCUUGAUUCUUCCGUCUCUCAUGAGGUCGAGAAAUGAUCCACAGUUUUCCAUGGCCCCCAAGUGAGACCCAGACAGUAAUUAGGAGAGAGGGCCAAGGUGCUACUGGGAGGUUGCCUGGCAGAGGAAAUGGGCACACCCAUUCAAGGAUAGGGCACAAACCACGCCAGGGAUCAGGAUUUAGCCGCAUAUCGGAGGAAUUGCCAUGCCAGCCAGCUGCACAGGGGCAAGACAGAGUGACUGCAGGCCCAAGUUAGCACCCUCUGAAAGAGGCAUCUUCCCUGCCCAGGAACACACAGGAUAAGCAAUGGGACCAGGUCAGAGAGAUGGGCAACCUGCCCCAGCCUGCCUCAGGCCUGACUGGGGCUUUGUGCAUCCUAGGGCCUUCAAUUCAGCCCAGAGACUAGGGGCAGAAACAUGCAACGGAGCUCUGAAAUGGACUGUGACUGGCUUAGACCUGAAGUGACAAAGACCCAGUCAGUGUGCCCAGGUGGGGCCUGGAGAAGGAGGACGGGGAAGGAACGGGCCAGCCUGCACCUUUAUCAUUUUCCUUGAUCCUGUGCCCCAGCUGAGGAACUCCCCAGCCUGUGCCGAGAAUACGUUCCUCGAGGACCACUUUUCAAACAGCCCUGUAGAGGGCGCGGUUUCCUCGUCCCAGAGGCUUCCAGGGUUCAGGCAGGCUCUGAAGGCUUUUCCAUCCGUCUGAUAAUCUCUUCGAAGCACUGAGGAAGCACCGUGGGGAGUAUCAAGAAGCACAGGAGGGCCUCCUCGGACUGUGAGAAACUCCGGGCAUAGUUCUAGGGAAGAAGACAAAGACAUGGACCUGUUGCAGUGGUUCCAAGACAUAUUCAAGUUCACGGCCAAGGCAGCCUGCAGAUUCUGGAUGCUUAGGAAUUCAGAAGAGGUCUGGACUGGUCCCAACAGUCUCUAAGGAAGGUGUCAAAGAGGUGAUGGCAUUGGGAGCAGACCUUAAUGGAUGAGAUGAUUUGGGGACUAACGCCAAGACAAGCAGAUGCAGAAGAUGGCAAGGUCUUGUUAAAGCCUCUUGUUUUUAAAUUAAAAUUAAAAUUCAACAUAUUUGAAUUGUUUACUUUUAAAUGGCUAAUUUUUAUUAUGUGACUUUUGCCUCAAUUAAAAACUACAUGAGAUAGCUAUA